CUCUGCUCCUAUCUUGUAUUGAUUAAUGGACUUUUGAGCUUGAAUACUGUUCGUUAUCUCCAUAUAUUUCAUGUUUAUACAUCCUUGUUCCCAGAACUUCCCUUAUAUUUUAUGCAUUAGCCUUUAAUCAUGAUCUUUUGGAAGGUAAUUGGUUUUGUCCUGUGGAUGUGUAAAAUGGUUUCAAAAUUUGCAUUUCCAAUUAGAUGGCAAAUAGGGGCAGGAAAAAAAUGACCUCUCCCUAACCCAUAGGGUCAUGAUUUGUACAAACUUGAAUCUACACUUCUUGAGAUGUUUCCAUAUUAAUCAUGCUCUUGUUGUUCUUGAAAAGAAGAAUUUUGAAGAUUUUUUUCCUUUUAUUCCUGUAUAAAACUUUAAUCCCUUAUUGUGGCCUGACCUUACCCUCGGAGGUCAUGAUUUGAAAACUAGAAAUAUGUCCAUAGGACAUGAAUGCCCCGCCGAAUUUAUAUUACUAAUGCAACAUGAAAAUUUGUAUGAGUGUAUGAAGUUUGAUUAGAAUAUCUUGAACAAUUUCUUUAAAAUUGAAACUAAAAUCUAAAAAAAAAGUUGGAUAUAGACGAUAAAUUCUCACCAAAUUAUGUAUAAAUGCAUGCUUACAUAAAAAUAUCUUAAAUUGUUUCUUUAAAACUAAGCAAAAUACAAAUUAAAGAGAAGGGAGGUCAAGGUCACAGAAAAGUGCAAGGUGAGACGUUUUUGACGCAGUUGAAUAGCUUUACUAAUACAUAUCAGCAUAUUAGGUUUGAUAAAAAUAUCUUGAAUGAUUUAUUUAAAACUACAUAACACUUAUUUAAGAAAAAAGAGGUCAGGGUCAAAGGAAAGGUUGAGGUCAAAAUGUUGAUGCAGUUGAAAAGCUUACAUCAGUAUGUAUUUACUUUUUGCAUAUGAAGUUUGAAAAAAAUAUCAUAAAUGGUUUAUCUAGAAACUAGAUAAACACUAAUUUAAAAAAGUGAGGUCAAGGUCAAAGAAAAAGUCAAGGUAAAAAAAAGUUGAUGCAAUUGAUAGCUGUCAGCAGUAUGUAUCAGCAUAUGAAGUUUGAUAAAUAUAUCUUGAAUUGUUUAUUCGAAACUGAUCUAGACACUAAUUUAAGAAAAGUGAUGUCAAGGUCAAAGGAAUGGUCAAGGUCAAAAAGGUUGAUGCAUGCGCAGUUGAAAAGCUUACAUCAGUAUGUAUCAGCAUAUGAAGUUUGAUUACAGUAACUUGAAUGAUUUCAUUAAAAUUAAGCUAAACACUAUAUCAAAGAAAAGUGAAGUCAAGGUCAAAGGAAAAGUCAAGGUCAAAAACGUUGAUGCAGUUGAAAAGCUUACAUCAGUAUGCAUCAACAUAUGAAGUUUGAUUACACUAUCUUUAAUGUUAUCUUUAAAACUGAGCUAAAACUAGUUUAAGAAAAGUGAGGUCAAGGUCAAAGGAAAGGUCAAGGUCAAAAAAUGUUGAUUCAGUUGCAUAGGUCUUUCCAAUAUCUAUCAGCAUAUGAAAUUUGAUAAAAAUAUCUUGGAUAGUUGCUUUGAAACUGAGCUUUGGACAGAGCUAAAAGCAAAGCGCGACAGAAAGACAGACGGAAGGAUGGAAGGACGGAAGACGGACAUAACAAACACUAUAUGCCUCGGCCAUAUUCAUGGCGGGGCUUAAAAACUUGAAUCUACACUAUAUGAGGAUGUUUCCAUAUCAAAAUGACUAACAAGCAAAUUCAAAGGAUUGUGGUCCCCUGCUUUCCAUGUCUUAGUGGAUGGGAUGCCAUUAAUUAUGGCAUAUUGUUUCAAAUAUGCAUGCCCUAUCAUAUGUCAUUCAAAAUUAAUCACCAAAGUUAAAACUUUUGAAAAUUAGGUAAAACAUCAAGGUCAAGGAGUAAAAAAUCAUACCAUGCUCGGAAAUCUUGUUACAGGUAAUGUAUAGGUCAAAUAUCUUAAUCAUUCUUAAAAUAUUUAUGUCAUCAUUUCUGAUUCAAGGGAGAACUAGAGAUAUGACCAGAAGUAUAUCUGUUGAGUAAUAAACAUGUACAUGUAUAUUGCGUUUUUUAAGUCAUUUGUUUGUUUGCCGUUAAAUGUCCCUCUCGGGAAUUUUUCACUCAUAUGGAGACACCACCGCUAAAAAAUAAUGAAGACGUACAAGUCGGAUUUGAGGAUAACAUUCAUUUUAGGAGUUUUCAACAAUUAAGACGUAAAGAGAUAACUCCUUCCCCUCGCCCCUUUCCCUUCCCAGAACCCUGUUUGUUCAUGUAUGCAAACUAAUACUUUGUUUUGACAUAAAAAAAUGUGAAUAUAUACAAAUAGUUUAAUGGUCCAUUUCUUUGAAUGAUUUUCAUUCCUAAUUCUAGGAGGGUACAUAGGUUGACUCAAAUUCAUGAAUGAAAUGUCAAGCAAUCUUAUCAUUGAUGCACUUUUAUUUAAUUUGAUGUAGUCAUAUUGUGAACAUUUCCAGUUCAUUAAGAGAGUGGGGAUGACCUCCAGGGGUUCAUUACCUUAAACCAUUAGAUGUACAUAACAUAAUAACACAAGAAACAAAAUUAUGCAUAGUCAAAUGGAAAAUUUUUCUACUAUUUUGGAGUCACAUGAUCAUUUGUCACUUCAGGGACAGGGAGCGGCUAGGGAGAUUGGACCCCCCCCCCCCCCUGGAAUUUGCAGAGUUAUAUAAAUAGGACUACAUACUGAUUUACAGAAGCAAAUAAAAAUGACUUUGGAUGCCCUUCCCCCUUUAAAAUCAUGGACCCCACCAUAAUUGUUUUUAUUUUGUUUGUUUGUUUGUUUGUUUUUUUUGCUCCUCGGGAAAUUCUGGGCUGGAAUUUUUUUUGACCGAGGUGUGGACACCCCCCCCCCCCCCCGGAAAAAAAAAUCAUGGAUCUGUGCCUGUUACAGAAUGUAGUGUCGACAACGGGAGAUAACUCUUCAGAAUGUGAAAUUCGUCUAUUGUGGCAUCCGAUCAUCUUAAGUUUGAUCCUUUUCAAACUUUAACCCAGCCAUUUUCAUUUCAGUUUAUUUUACCCUAAUCUAUACUUAAACUUGUACUUACCGACUGUCAUAGGUCCUGUCAACUUCAUUAAAUAUAAUCCAAUUAAAACACAAAAUGAAUUAAUUUCUACUGAUAUACAUGCAAUGAUGUGAACACCACACUGCACCAUGUGCAAUCUAAAAUGAUAAUGGUAAAACUAGUACUAAUACUAGUAUGGUGACGCAAGCCCAAUGUGAUGUAGAAAUUUUCAAAAAGGUGUUCACAUACAUAUACAGUACAAGGACAAAUUUUAAAUUAUCAUAACAAACGAUGUUUUAACAUAACUUUGCCAUCUAGGCCUAUUACCAAAAACAGGCAAAUUGUGUGUGUGUGUGUGUGAGGGUGUGUGUGAGGGUGUGUGUGUGUGUGUUGGGGGGGGGGGGGGUGACAAAAUUGAUUGGGUAUGGCUUUUCAAGGAGGUUUUUGCCUAAUCAAAUACUUAAAAAAAUUGCACAUUUUGAUAAAUUCAUCAAAAACGCUUUGUACUAAAAUAAUAUUAUUUGUUGUUGAGAAAAUAAAUUUAAAAAGUUCCAAUUAUGGGCCAAAAAUUUAUAUCCCCCCUUUUAUCAAAACCUAAUUUACAUCAUUAAUUAAAUUCUGUUAUUUCAGACUGGUAAUGAAUUAAGUAAAGGAAAUACCUAUAAGAGGCUCAUGGGUCACAUGGUCACCUGGGCAUUUUAUGCUCGAUUUGACGAAUACAUGUACUGUGUAAAUUAUAGAAUUAUUUGGACUUUUUCCUUGAAUAAAGUGUUUGGAGUUCAUCUGGAUGAAACACACAUUUACAAGUUUCGUGAUAUUCUUCUGGAAUAUCUGGGCAACCCAAAGUAUUUGUAGCGUGCGGAUGCGUGAACUGAACAAGUCAAGAACUCUAUUGAAAGAUUAUAAAUUUAUUUCACGGGACACAGAAAGAAAGCAAUACUGUCCAAUAUUCACAAAAUCUCUGGUGUUUCAUAAAUUAAUAAAAACCUCUAUAACUGGAGUCUUAUCCAGUAAUAAUAA